UACGAAGGGGGCUAGCGUUGUUCGGAAUCACUGGGCGUAAAGCGCACGUAGGCGGGUUCUUAAGUCAGGGGUGAAAUCCCGAGGCUCAGCCUCGGAACUGCCUUUGAUACUGGGAAUCUUGAGUUCGGGAGAGGUGAGUGGAAUUGCGAGUGUAGAGGUGAAAUUCGUAGAUAUUCGCAAGAACACCAGUGGCGAAGGCGGCUCACUGGCCCGAUACUGACGCUGAGGUGCGAAAGCGUGGGGAGCAAACAGG
rnacentral:rRNA from 1 species